UACGGAGGGUGCAAGCGUUGUUCGGAAUUACUGGGCGUAAAGCGCGUGUAGGCGGCUUGGCAAGUCGGGUGUGAAAUCCCGGGGCUCAACCCCGGAACUGCAUUCGAAACUGCCUGGCUGGAGUCCCGGAGAGGGUGGUGGAAUUCCCAGUGUAGAGGUGAAAUUCGUAGAUAUUGGGAGGAACACCAGUGGCGAAGGCGGCCACCUGGACGGUGACUGACGCUGAGACGAGAAAGCGUGGGGAGCAAACAGG
rnacentral:rRNA from 1 species